UUUGGUAUGUUGGAGAUUAGUCCCUGGUCAAGUGGUCCCUGGUCAAAAGAAAGGUUGGGAACCACUACUUUAAAGAGUUUACAUAGCGAUUUUAACAGCUUGUAAUUUUUAUUGUAAAUAUUUUUAAAUAGCGAUUUCUGGAAACAUCCCUGGGUCCCACUUUGGUAGAAAGCUGGCAUAUGAAUUAAAUUAAAAAAUGAAAUAAAUUUAGUUCUGGCCAACUGCCUCUCCUAAUGAUAUGAUCCUGCCCCCACAGUAAUGAUUAUGAUGCCAUCUGUGAUGCUUCCAUUAUGAUGCAUUCAUGGUUCUUUGGUGAUAGUUAAGCCAAGGAGAGAAAGGCAAAGGAUUCCCAUGGAAACAUCUAGGUUCCUUUGACUGGAUGAAGAAAAUGGGGGAAAGACAGGAUCAAUAAUAUAUGCUCUAUAAAAAGUGUAAUAUAAAAGUACAUAGCAAACAAAGUACUUAUUUUCCUGUAAAGGUUUCAGAACAUGAGGUUUCCAGGUAAGCUUCCGUGUUUCUCGUUCGUUGAUCUCUUAUUAGGGAAACUGAGAGAACUGUAUGGUCAAAGUUUGAAUCCUCCUGCUAUUCAUGAUAGUCAAAGAAUUGGGAUAAAUUAUGUGAAGAGUAUAUGAGAUUUUAAGAAACGGAGGUACACUCAAUGGCAGAUGAAAGGUAAGAAACAACCUUCAGUUCUAGGAUUUGAAUUUUGCACUCAGUGCCCAAAGAACAUGGUAAGGCUGGCAGUUGGGAGGUAAAUGCUGCCAGUUCCAGAACAGAGAGUUUUACUGUCUGAAAGAGACUGAAAGAAAAGGAACUGGUAGAUGAGGUGAGUAUGUCAAUAUUUCCAUUUGCCAGAGCCUAUCCCUCAUUCUGCUUAGAUUUUUAGCUGGAAAAAUAUGAGAUUUUAUGUUUCAUACCAGCUUAAAUGAGCAACAAAUGUUUCACAAAAUCCUAUAUAGGAUAAAGACACGACUGCUUUCUGAAAAGGGAAAAUGCCUCUCCAGUCAACUUCACCAAUAUAUGGGUAGGUCUCCAUGCGGUAGGUUUCUUAAUGGAAAGAAUUCAUAGGAUGUGUAACAGUUAACAGUUAACUACAAAGUGGUUACAUGCAAGUCUUAAACAUGGUGGGGAGGGAUAGAAAAUAUGUAUAAGCAUAAAAAUAACAGUAGAUGCCAAAAGUUAACGUAUGGUACAUUGUAUUGAAUAUUAUGUGUCUGCUGUAGAACAAACAAUAUAUAACAAAUGUAUUGAAUAAUGAUAAAAUAAAAAAUAAUAUUUUUUCUAAAAGGAAAAAAAGUAUUAAAAAUAAGAAACAGACUUCAUUUCUUUAACAGAAUGUUUUAUUGUCUGAAAGAGACUAGAAGAAAGGAAUUCGGCAGAUGAGGUAGUUAUGUUACUAUUUCCAGUUGCCAAAGUAUGUCCUUAAUUUUGUCUAGUUUUUUUUUUUGCUGGAAACAUGAAAUUUCUAGCAUCUGAAAACUUUCAAAAAGCAAGGAAUGUGUAACAAAAAUGACAUAAUGUAAAGAAUAAGACGAGUGUCGGGACAGUAAAAAGUCUCUCCAGUGAACUUAACAAACAUGUUGGUAAAUCUAUGAAGUAAGUUGCUUAACUGGAAGAAUUCAUAGCCUGGAAAAUACUUAGGCUUGUAAAAGGCUUUAUUUGUUCAACUUGUACUUGUAUAUAAUGUCUUUUUUAGGAAUUUAAAAUGAGUUGAAAUAACUACAAAUCAAUGCGUUUUGUAAACAAGUGUAUUCUAAAAGUGGUUGGGAAAAAUACAGUGGUUGAAAUAUUUCAAUAUUUCACAGUGACCAAAGUCUAUACUUUACUUUGCCUAGUUUUCUAACUAUAGCAGUUGUACAUUAUGAAGGAGACUGUAAGAAAGUGAUCGAGGAGCUGAGAAUGGAAACAUGCUUGAACAGAAAAGAAGAACUAGAGACGAACGGAAGCAAAAUGUCAAUUUUGACUUCAAGCAUUGGCUGGAAGAAUUAAAGAUUAGAAUGUAAUGAAAAUUUUAUCAUCUAUACAAUUACCGGUAACAAUUUAUUAGCGGGGAAAGCAGAUAAAGGUCAUUGUUCCAUU